rnacentral:rRNA from 1 species
UACAGGAGCCUCGAGCGUAGGCGGAAUCAACUGGGCUUAAAGCGUGUGUAGGCGGACUUCUAAGUACCUUGUGCAAAUCCCACGGCUCACCCGUGGAACUGCUUGGUAUACUGGGUUGUCUUGAAGGCCUUCUAGGGGGCGAAGUGGAACAAAUGGUGGAGCGGUGAAAUUGGCGUAGUAUAUCAAUUUGGAACGCCAAUGGGUGAAAACAACUCGCUGGGGAAAGUGCUGACGCGUGAGACACGGAAAGCCAGGGGAGCGAACGGG